UAUAUUUUAAAGCUUUGUAGGUGAAGCUUUGGUGUUAAAGCUUUGUAGGUGAAGCUUUGAGGUUGAAGCUUUGUUGGGCACCUUGAAUUGAUUUUGCUUCACACUAUCUUGAUCAAGAUAGUGUGAAGCUUUUGUAGGUGAAGCGUUUGUGUUGAAGGUUUGUAGGUGAAGCUUUUAUGGGUGAAGUUUUGUGGGUCAAGCUUUUGUGGGUGAAGCUUUUAUGGGUGAAGCUUUUGUAGGUGAAACUUUUGUGGGUACCAUGAAUUGAUUUUGCUUCACACUAUCUUGACCAAGAUAGUGUUAAGCUUUUGAGAAUUUGUAGUUGUCCUCCAUUGAUGAAGCUUUGUUGAAUUUCCCUUUUUUUUUUUUUUUUUUUUUUAGGAAACUAGAAAUUUGAAAAUGUGGGAGAGACAACAUAUACAAAUUUUGCUUCCACAUUGUUGAGCAAGAGAUUGUGAUGCAAGCCACACCUUGUAGUAGUCGAAGUUUUGGAUGAACCAUAUAACUUGAAUUUGCUUCGAACGGUCUUGAAUUUGCUUCGAAUGUUUGAGAAUUGUAGUUGCGCUCCAUUGAUGGAGCUUUUGUUGACACCAUAAAUUGGUUUUGCUUCACACUGUCUUGAUCAAGAGUGUGUGAAGCUUUUGAGAGUUGUGGUUGAACUCAUUUGAUGAAGCUUUUGUUGGCACCAUAAAUUGGUUUUGCUUCACACUGUCUUGAUCAAGUGUGUGAAGCUUUUGAGAAUUGUGGUUGCGCUCCAUUGAUGAAGCUCUUGUUGGCACCAUAAAUUGGUUUUGCUUCACACUGUCUUGAUCAAGAGUGUGUGAAGCUUUUGAGAAUUAUGGGGGUUGAACUCCUUUAUUGAAGCUCUUGUUGGCACCAUAAAUUGGUUUUGCUUCACAUUGUCUUGAUCAAGAGUGUGUGAAGCUUUUAAGAAUUGUGGUUGAACUCCUUUGAUGAAGCUCUUGUUGGCACCAU
rnacentral:lncRNA from 1 species